GAUGAACGCUGGCGGCGUGCCUAACACAUGCAAGUCGAGCGAACAGACGAGGAGCUUGCUCCUCUUACGUUAGCGGCGGACGGGUGAGUAACACGUGGAUAACCUACCUAUAAGACUGGGAUAACUUCGGGAAACCGGAGCUAAUACCGGAUAACAUGUUGAACCGCAUGGUUCAACAGUGAAAGACGGUCUUGCUGUCACUUAUAGAUGGAUCCGCGCCGCAUUAGCUAGUUGGUAAGGUAACGGCUUACCAAGGCAACGAUGCGUAGCCGACCUGAGAGGGUGAUCGGCCACACUGGAACUGAGACACGGUCCAGACUCCUACGGGAGGCAGCAGUAGGGAAUCUUCCGCAAUGGGCGAAAGCCUGACGGAGCAACGCCGCGUGAGUGAAGAAGGUCUUCGGAUCGUAAAACUCUGUUAUUAGGGAAGAACAAAUGUGUAAGUAACUAUGCACGUCUUGACGGUACCUAAUCAGAAAGCCACGGCUAACUACGUG
rnacentral:rRNA from 1 species